AUUGAACGCUGGCGGCAUGCCUAACACAUGCAAGUCGAACGGCAGCGGGGUCUAGCUUGCUAGAUUGCCGGCGAGUGGCGAACGGGUGAGUAACGCGUAGGAAUAUACCUUUAAGUGGGGGAUAACUCGGGGAAACUCGAGCUAAUACCGCAUAAUCUCUGAGGAGCAAAGCUGGGGACCUUUUGGCCUGGCGCUUAAAGAUUAGCCUGCGUCCGAUUAGCUAGUUGGUGGGUAAAGGCCUACCAAGGCGACGAUCGGUAGCUGGUCUGAGAGGAUGAUCAGCCACACUGGGACUGAGACACGGCCCAGACUCCUACGGGAGGCAGCAGUGGGGAAUAUUGGACAAUGGGGGCAACCCUGAUCCAGCAAUGCCGCGUGUGUGAAGAAGGCCUGAGGGUUGUAAAGCACUUUUCAGUGGGAGAAAGGUUGAGCGUUAAUAGCGUUUAACUGUGACGUUACCCACAGAAGAAGCACCGGCUAACUCCGUG
rnacentral:rRNA from 1 species